UAAUUUUAAAUAUAUUUGUUUUUAUUUCAAGAAAACUUAUUAUUUAUAUGCUGAUAAUAAAGACAUUGAUAAUAUGCUUGUUCAAAUCGAUUUAUGUAAUGACAAAAAUAUAGACAUACGUUUUAGUGCUUAUAUGCAUAUUGAAAAAUCUAUUUUUUAUGACUACUUUCUGGCCAAUAAAAUUAAAAAAAACCAAUUAAACGUGAUAGAAAUAACUGAUACAAAUUUUGAAUUCACUGAAACUUAUAAAAUUAAUAAAAUUAUUAAAAGUGAUGAAAGAGAUACAAACGUGUAUAAGAAAGUAAAUAUGGACAUGGACAUGGGUACCUGUACAGAUGCUUACAUAGAUGCAAAUAAGAAUAAAGUAAGAAACACGCAAGAUGAAUCAAACACACCCCAAACUUAUAAUAGAAAAGGAAAGCAUAGUUAUACUAUGAAGCCAUAUAAAAUAUGUAUACAAAACAUAAACGAGUUUAAUUUGUUAGAACAUGAUAUGCCUGAACAAUUAGAAGCGGAUACAUAUGACACGUGCAUAACAAAACAUAACACAGAAAAGGAUACAUCUGAUGUUAAUAGUGAUAGUAAUAAAAAUGGUGUUAAUAACGAUAAAGGCGACAUUAGUAAUAAUAAUAUAGUUGAUAGGAGAAGUAAUAAAUAUAUCGUUUUUAAUGAAAAUGAAUAUGCAAAUGAUACAAGAAAAAUAAACAAAACACAAAACUAUUUACAUACCGAUAUAAAUGAUAGUGACAUGUACUCUUAUAUAAAUAUGGAUGAUUGUAAUGAUCAUGUGCUCACAUUAGAAAAAUCUAAUGUAUCAAAACCAAUAAAUUUAUUGGAUAAAUGUCAAAAAAAAAUAUCACAUGAAAAAACACCCAAAAAAAAAAAUGUCAUAUUACAGGAAGAAAUAGAAGAGAUUAAAUAUAACGAUACUGAAUUUUUUGUUUAUUCAAAAGAAAAAGAUUCAGGAAAUAAAAAAAACAUUUACUUUGAUUAUUCUUCUUCUGGUGACGGCCAGUUGGAUAAACAAAAUAGUAAUUUAUCCAAAUAUGGAAAAAAAAAAAAAUUGUGUUUAAUAAAUGAAAAAAAAUCAUCUAAAUUUAAUAAUGAUUCAGAAACAUUAACAAAUAUACAUUUUCAAACAGUAUCAAAUUUGAAUGAUCAUAACGAAUUAAAAAUAAACGUAGAAUGUGAUAACUUUUUGUCACCGAGAGACAAUACAGUGGAAGUUGAUGCCAAAGUUGGAGAACGUAUGCAAAUUGAGGAAGAUACACAAAUUGAGCAAAGUAUGCAAUUUGAGCAAGGUAUGCAAAUUGAGCAAGGUAUGCAAAUUGAGCAAGGUAUGCAAAUUGAGGAAAGUAUGCAAAUUGAGGAAAAUAUGCAAAUUGAGGAAAAUAUGCAAAUUGAAGGACAUGUAAGUAAUAAGAAUGAAAUGGGUAAAGAAAAAAACAGAUUUUUGGUACCCAUUGAUUAUGAUGCCUACGAUACAUAUUUAGACGAAGAUAACGAUAAUAAUUCAGAAAUACCACGCGAGAAUGAUAAUGAUGAU
rnacentral:lncRNA from 1 species